AACGUAGGACGCGAGCGUUAUCCGGAGUUACUGGGCGUAAAGCGCGUGCAGGCGGUCUGACAAGUCUGAUGUGAAAUCACCCGGCUCAACCGGGCGAGGCCAUUGGAAACUGACAGGCUGGAGGGCAGUAGAGGUAGGCGGAAUUCCGGGUGGAGUGGUGAAAUGCGUAGAGAUCCGGAGGAACACCAGAGGCGAAGGCGGCCUACUGGGCUGCACCUGACGCUGAGACGCGAAAGCCAGGGGAGCGAACGGG
rnacentral:rRNA from 1 species